CCAGUUACAUGAUGACUAAAAUCACAUCACCAUCUUUCGGCUGAGUUCGUGAUGGAUUUGCUUUUUUCUGAUAAAACUG
ensembl:snoRNA SNORD51 small nucleolar RNA, C/D box 51